rnacentral:rRNA from 1 species
UGUUUGAUGUUCUAACGUUGACCCGUGAUCCGGGUUGCGGACAGUGUCUGGUGGGUAGUUUGACUGGGGCGGUCUCCUCCUAAAGAGUAACGGAGGAGCACGAAGGUUGGCUAAUCCUGGUCGGACAUCAGGAGGUUAGUGCAAUGGCAUAAGCCAGCUUGACUGCGAGCGUGACGGCGCGAGCAGGUGCGAAAGCAGGUCAUAGUGAUCCGGUGGUUCUGAAUGGAAGGGCCAUCGCUCAACGGAUAAAAGGUACUCCGGGGAUAACAGGCUGAUACCGCCCAAGAGUUCAUAUCGACGGCGGUGUUUGGCACCUCGAUGUCGGCUCAUCACAUCCUGGGGCUGAAGUAGGUCCCAAGGGUAUGGCUGUUCGCCAUUUAAAGUGGUACGCGAGCUGGGUUUAGAACGUCGUGAGACAGUUCGGUCCCUAUCUGCCGUGGGCGCUGGAGAACUGAGGGGGGCUGCUCCUAGUACGAGAGGACCGGAGUGGACGCAUCACUGGUGUUCGGGUUGUCAUGCCAAUGGCACUGCCCGGUAGCUAAAUGCGGAAGAGAUAAGUGCUGAAAGCAUCUAAGCACGAAACUUGCCCCGAGAUGAGUUCUCCCUGACCCUUUAAGGGUCCUGAAGGAACGUUGAAGACGACGACGUUGAUAGGCCGGGUGUGUAAGCGCAGCGAUGCGUUGAGCUAACCGGUACUAAUGAACCGUGAGGCUUAACCUUACAAC